CCGGGAAGAGCCCAGCUUGA
rnacentral:snRNA from 1 species